rnacentral:tRNA from 1 species
GGAGAGGUGGCAGAGUGGUCGAAUGCGCCAGACUCGAAAUCUGGUUUAGGUGAAUGCCUAACGUGGGUUCGAAUCCCACCUUCUCCGCCA